GCACCCGUAGUUCAAUGGAUAGAAUGAGUGAUUCCGGUUCUCUUGAUAGGGGUUCGAUUCCCCUCGGGUGUA
rnacentral:tRNA from 3 species